AUGAGCUCACACAAGGAUUCCCUUCAACAUUUUAAGCAACCUUGGGCACAUGAUCAUGAACCUGUCAAUAAUCUUGUAGAUGUUAUCAAGGUAUUGCUGCCUCAAGUGCCAUUCUGGUUUCUUGGCAGGUGGUUUCAUGGGCUAAAUGUUUACUAUGCACUUGUAUAUUUUCUCUCUUACUAUGUGUGACUCUUAAGCUAUAUCAUUGUUGAUGAUAAGAAUGCUUUCUCCAACUCAGGUUUACUCUUUUAAAGUGGUUUCUCUAGUGGUCAUGUUUUUAUUUAGUUCUUCUACAAGUAUAUAUUACAACACUAUACUUUAUCUAAUUUUUGCUAUCUGAAGUUUGUACAAAUUCAAGCGGACUUUCUACUAAGGAAGUAGUUGAAGCGAUGGCUAAUUUUAAUGAGAUAGUAUUAGAUCCAAUGCACGAGUUCCCUUGCAUUGAUUUUGGCUCAAUCCAACCCUACCUCUCAAUCAGAAUGUAGUGUAGAAGAGGCAUAUACGUGGAGUAAGGUAAGUUUUCUCUAUCUUUUUGCAGCAAUAGUUGCAUAAUUCAUAUUCACAAUUUACUUUGGUAGUUAAGAAUUUGGCUUUCAUUCACAUGGUGCUAGUGGGAGUCCAUUUGAUCCAAUUGAAUAUGAUGGAAAAGUUCUUGUGCCAGGACAGGUUUAAAAUUUUUAUUUGUUACAAACUAACCUUUGGUGUUUCACUUUCUUCUGGUCAAAUAAUCAUACAUCUUCUCGAGAUUUGGCCUUGGGCUGGUGAUCUUCGGAGCAGCCCGUGUGCACAAUGAUGACAUGCUUACGUUCAGCCUGAAAGUUCACAAGUGCAAUCACCAUUACUAUAUUUCUAUUUUUGUAUAUCAAUAUUUCAAACUUGUUCCAUAUACCAUAAACCCAUCGGGAACAUGUUUAAUCAACUUUGAAAUUUACUUUUCCAUAUGUUCCACAAAACUAUGAAAAGUAGAAUAAUUGUGGUAUCUUUUAUUGGACAACAAAAGCUUUAACUCCUAAUGACGUAGGACAACUUGGACAAAGGAAUGGUCUACCCACCAUUCCCCAACAUUAGGAAGAUAUUUGCUCAUAUUGCUGCGAAUGAUGCAGCAAAAGCAUAUGAACUUAGAUUGGUGAGUCGGUACCCACAUCCCAAGGACUUCAUGAAGUACGCGGAGAGCUUCAUGUACAACUUAUCACCCGUAGAUUGGACAAGAGGGCUUUGCGCAUAUUAACAGUAAGUCAAGUGUUUAAUCAAUACAUUUUCUAAUUAUUUGACCAAUCCCCUUUACAAUGUUAACUUGGAGUUACACUUGUGUUUUUCUUUUUAUUUUCUUUUUCUUUUUCAGAAUCUAUUUAUGAUGGUAAGGUCUUUUGAGUGCUUCCUUCAGUUUGAAGACUUGAUGUUGGUACUUCUGUGUCAAGGGAGACUUAAGUGUUUUUUUAUAAUAUUUUUUAUAAUUUUUUUGACCCACAAUUCACCUUUGGUGUUGUUUUCAUUCUUAAGCUUCCAACAUGGUUCAUCCUUUCAAAUACACUGAGAAUAGAACAUCAGAACAAACGUAUACAUGCAGUAGAAAAAUCAAACCUUCCAUGAACACAAACAAAUAAUAGCCAUGCUUUCAACUAAAUCACAAUUCAAGGAUCAAGAGAAGGCUAAGAAGCUGUAGAGCAUUGUUGCCAUAGUGAUUUUGGCCGGCCAUAACUUGGAGCCCAAGCUUGGUGUGGCCGGCCAUAUAAAAUAAAGGGGAUUUUGUUUUUCAAAUCUUUUCUUAUGUGGAAGUCAUGGUUUUAAAAGAGAGUUUAAAAUUUAAAUCUUUUCCUUUUUUUUUUGGGAAGGUAAAUGUAUUAUACUACUAAA